rnacentral:lncRNA from 1 species
GCAGCUUUGGAGAAACAGUAACAGAGACAAUGGAAUUCCUAGGGGAGAGAUUAGAUUAGAGAUUAGAAUUUUUUUAUAACAGCCAGCCUUCUGGAGAGAAGAAGGGUUCCUUCCUGGACUCAGGCUCCUAGCUGGAUAUGAACUUCUAAGUGACUUCUGGAACCAAACCUUAUGGAGAGAAGAGAGAUGAGCAUAUGGCCCCAAAGUAAAGGAGUAGCAAAGAACUGAGCCACCAUGUGAGAAAGGGAGCUUUAUCCUCAUCCUUCAUUACUAUGGGGCCCAUACCAAAACUGUAUUCUGCUGUUCCCUGGGGAUAUUCUGGUUGGAGGCAAGAUCCAAAGAGUCAUUUGUGGGAAGCUCUGGAAUACUGAAGCAGAGACAGAGACAGGAAACUGUGGCAGAGAUGGAGCUAAGGAGAAUGAACACAGAGAAAAUUGCCUGAAUCUUACCCACUCAGAUGUGAUAGCUAAAGUCCUGACUGGAGGAUGUUGCUGAUCACCAUAUAGAAGCACAUUUAAAGAAAAAUACUCAUUUUGUUCAGGAUUAAAAUUAUUUUCGGAAACUGAUUUAUGGUUUACAAAGUCAAUUUACUGAUUAGCUUAGCAUCAUAACCAAUAGAUUAACAGGUCAUGGAUCCUCUAAAUAACCAAAAACCUAGAAUAUUCCUUAGGCAGAUCAAUAAGUAGAGUUUUAGGAGCUCAUUAUUCAGUCCUUCCCUCAAAUAUCCCAAGACAUCUCUAAUUAGUAAAUAUGUAACUAGGGGCUGGUUCAUCAACCCUUCCUGAAACCAACAGGUAAUGGUUGUCACCACAGGAAGAAAGAGAAUCUUUAUCUCUCCUUUCUAUUAAGAAAAUCCACUUAAAAGGAAAGCCAUUCACUUGGAUUCUUAAGAACAAAGGUAGUGCCUGAGGUCCAUGAUUUUGAUUUAAUAAUUCUCUCUAAUAUACAUGGAUUAGGGCCUUUAUACUUCAGGAUCCUGACAUAAGAAUACAGUAUAUGAAAAAUAAAUUUUCAUAAUUUAAGGAAUUAUUGUCCA